rnacentral:lncRNA from 1 species
AUAGGAUUCUCUCACUUGAUAUAUUUAUUGCUCACAGCACUGAAAACACAGACAAGCUGAAGAUAUUUGGGGUCAUACUCUUGUUGGGUUCUUUGGAUUCAUCUCAGCUGCAGCUCUCUUCUUUUUAGCAGGCUAGUGCCACGUGGUGUCCCGAAACAGAGACAAGAUGGAAGACACUCUGCAGCUGGCAUUCCCCAUCCUCUAGCCGAAGACAACAAAAAACAGUGACAAACAAACCCUCCAAAAGCUGGAUCAUCUGCAAUGAGCUGUACUGCCCUGCUCUGCUUAGGUUCAAUUCCAUGCUGCACCACCCAGCUUUGCUCAGAAGGAAAAUGUGUCAGUUCUACAAUUGGACAAGGUCAUACCUUAUUAUCAUGGAUCUGUGAACAACUGUUUUAG